CAUUUGGGUUGUGUUCACUUUUUGGCUAUUGUGAAUAGUGCUGCUAGGACCACUCAUAUACAAGUAUUUUUUGAGUGCCUGUUUUCAAUGUGUUGGUAUAUUUGGACAAAGAUACAAGAGACUGAAAUGUCGGAGCAUUAUAAGAAGUUGGAGAAAAUCACGAGUACGCACUGAAUCUGCGGGCGGUUCAGCAAGCCAGGGUGGAGAAGCCGUGGAGUGUGGCGGUCGGCGUGUUAGGUGGAGCUGCCUCAAGAAGGAAUCUCCAGACAAAUCUGCCUUGGAUUUCUCACUUUAAAAAUAGUUCAACACAUUUUUCAUAUAGACCAAAAAUUUAAAACAAAAGGAAAACAAAAAAAAAAAAAAGGAAAAAAUGAAAGAAGAAAAAAAUGACUAAACGAAAGAAAGCGUUAGGAAAUAUCUCUUUAAGGCUAUGUGGUUGUAAUCAGUGUGCAUCUAUAGAUGGUAAAUGCCAUUUUCCCAUUAUUGGUCUUUAUAUUUGGAGACAACAUGCUUGAAGAUAUAAUUGCAAUGGGAAGUUACUGUGACCACAAAAUUCAGGAAGCUGGAACCCUUGCAAAUGCUCCUCUAUCUCUGUUUCAUUUGUCUUAAGAAUGCACAAUGUGCUAUAUAAGAGAACAGUACACAAAAAUCAGUCUAGACUUGAAAUCACUCACUCUAGACAGAAAAACUGUUUCAGUAAAAUUUGUCCUAAGCCGAGCAAAUUUAAUUAAAUUGCAUUUCCAAUGCAAAA